rnacentral:rRNA from 1 species
CGGAGAGGGCGCAUGAGAAACGGCCCCUCAUCCAACGAAGGCAGCAGGCGCGCAAAUUACCCAAUCCCUUUAAGGGGAGGGAGGGACAANAUGGAACAANAUACGGCCUUAUACGUCGUAUAAUUGGAAUGAGUACAAUUUAAAUCCCUUAACGAGGAACAAUUGGAGGGCAAGUCUGGUGCCAGCAGCCGCGGUAAUUCCAGCUCCAAUAGCGUAUAUUAAAGUUGUUGCAGUUAAAAAGCUCGUAGUUGGACCUUGGACCUGGACAGGCGGUCCGCCUCACGGCGAGUACUGUCUUGCUGGGUCUUUCCUCUUGGUGAUCUGUUGUUUCGGCAGCAGGGAACCAGGACCUUUACUUUGAAAAAAUUAGAGUGUUCAUAGCAGGCUCGACGCCGGAAUAUAUUAGCAUGGAAUAAUAAAAUAGGACGUGCGGUUCUAUUUUGUUGGUUUUUGGAAUCGCCGUAAUGAUUAAUAGGGACAGUCGGGGGCAUUAGUACUCACAUGCUAGAGGUGAAAUUCUUGGAUUUUGUGAAGACUAACUUCUGCGAAAGCAUUUGCCAAGGAUGUUUUCAUUAAUCAAGAACGAAGGUUAGGGUAUCGAAAACGAUUAGAUACCGUUGUAGUCUUAACAGUAAACUAUGCCGACUAGGGAUCGGUCGAUGUUAUCUUUUUGACUCGAUCGGCACCUUACGAGAAAUCAAAGUUUUUGGGUUCUGGGGGG